UCCCAAAUACAUGCAUUGGCAUGAACUGA
rnacentral:piRNA from 1 species